UAAUACGAAGGGGGCGAGCGUUGUUCGGAUUUACUGGGCGUAAAGGGCGCGUAGGCGGCGCCGCAAGUCGAGUGUGAAAGCCCCGGGCUCAACCUGGGAAUGGCGCUCGAGACUGUGGUGCUGGAGUUCGGGAGAGGAGCGUGGAAUUCCCAGUGUAGAGGUGAAAUUCGUAGAUAUUGGGAAGAACACCGGUGGCGAAGGCGGCGCUCUGGACCGAGACUGACGCUGAGGCGCGAAGGCGUGGGGAGCAAACAGGAUUAGAUACCCUGGUAGUCCACGCGGUAAACGAUGUGUGCUAGACGUUGGAGGGCCUAGCCCUUCGGUGUCGCAGCUAACGCUUUAAGCACACCGCCUGGGGAGUACGGCCGCAAGGUUA
rnacentral:rRNA from 1 species